rnacentral:rRNA from 1 species
AACGAACGCUGGCGGCAGGCUUAACACAUGCAAGUCGAACGCACCUUUCGGGGUGAGUGGCAGACGGGUGAGUAACGCGUGGGAAUCUACCCCUCUCUACGGGAUAGCUCCGGGAAACUGGAAUUAAUACCGUAUACGUCCUGAGGGAGAAAGAUUUAUCGGGGAAGGAUGAGCCCGCGUUGGAUUAGCUAGUUGGUGGGGUAAAGGCCUACCAAGGCGACGAUCCAUAGCUGGUCUAAGAGGAUGAUCAGCCACAUUGGGACUGAGACACGGCCCAAACUCCUACGGGAGGCAGCAGUGGGGAAUAUUGGACAAUGGGCGCAAGCCUGAUCCAGCCAUGCCGCGUGAGUGAUGAAGGCCCUAGGGUUGUAAAGCUCUUUCAGUGGGGACGAUAAUGACGGUACCCACAGUAGAAGCCCCGGCUAACUUCGUGCCAGCCGCCGCAGUAA